GACGAACGCUGGCGGCGUGCCUAAUACAUGCAAGUAGAACGCUGAAGGAGGAGCUUGCUUCUCUGGAUGAGUUGCGAACGGGUGAGUAACGCGUAGGUAACCUGCCUGGUAGCGGGGGAUAACUAUUGGAAACGAUAGCUAAUACCGCAUAAUAGCAGUUGUUGCAUGACAACUGUUUGAAAGGUGCAAUUGCACCACUACCAGAUGGACCUGCGUUGUAUUAGCUAGUUGGUGGGGCAACGGCUCACCAAGGCGACGAUACAUAGCCGACCUGAGAGGGUGAUCGGCCACACUGGGACUGAGACACGGCCCAGACUCCUACGGGAGGCAGCAGUAGGGAAUCUUCGGCAAUGGACGGAAGUCUGACCGAGCAACGCCGCGUGAGUGAAGAAGGUUUUCGGAUCGUAAAGCUCUGUUGUAAGAGAAGAACGAGUGUGAGAGUGGAAAGUUCACACUGUGACGGUAUCUUACCAGAAAGGGACGGCUAACUACGUG
rnacentral:rRNA from 1 species